UUCCCCCUCCUCCAUGAUUGUAAGUUUCCUGAGGCCUCCCCAGCCAUGAGUGAGUCAAUUAAACCUCUUUUCUUCAUAAAUUACCCAUCUUGGGCAGUUCUUUAUAGCAGUGCGAUAACGAACUUAUACACCUAUCCUAAAAGCAAAACUCCUCCAUCCCCUUAAUGGAAUAUAACCUUAAGUCCUUAAUUUCCCACUAUUUUGAGAACUUACCAUCUUUCUCUUUUCACCUACCCACUGGGCUUCAU
rnacentral:lncRNA from 1 species